ensembl:lncRNA FTX FTX transcript, XIST regulator
CACGCAUGCGCAAGGCUUGAAUGGCGUCGGGGUUGGAGGGUUGGAAGGUCGGGAAGUGAAGGACUCGCAGGCAUAUUUAACAACGCAAAGUUGCUAGGAGUUGGUACCAGCGUUUGGGAGGUAGAGGUGGCGCUCAUGCAUAUUUGAGACAACAUCUGGAUGGUUGGGGAGAACGGUGAUGCCACACUCAAUCAGAAACUAUGCUACUGCUGAAGAGGUAUAUUGAGCCCUGCCUGGUUAACCUCCAGUGAGGUUAUUAGAGAAUUGGGAGAGGCUCAAAUCAGCAUCCUGCACCUAGUUAUCAAACCAUUGUGAAGUCUUGAUUCCUGGAUGGCCAGAAAACUUGUCAUUGGUCAAGAGCAACAUUAAGAUCUGCCUGUUACUCAUACUGAUGCUUCCUGCCCAGCAAGUUCAUCAGAGGGCGAGGAUGAAUUACGGUUGCCAUGAAUGUCCUUGUGAGGCAGUUGGGAAGCCUUGGCUGGAUUGUGAAGGAUAUUUGAAAAGUAUUUUAGAGUCCACCAGAUCAUCCAUGUGAGUGACCAUGCAGCAAAAGAAGGAGGGUCCUCUCAGUGAUUAAGGAUUAUGAAGUAUUAAUUCUUCCACUGAUAUCUCAAAAGGUGAUCUGGACAAAGGAACAGGUAUCUCAGAUAAUCAGCAACUGCUGUGAUGAGAUGCUGCCUUUAAUGCUGCUGCAUGUGGUCAAACCUCCACUCCCAGUCUACCCAGACCAGGACUUGGCUUCCAGGAUCCAGGGGUGUCUGUGUGAAAUGAUCAGCCUGGGCCCCCAAGCAGGUCACUCCCAGCACAGAGAUGUCAUUGAUUGUACCACCGUCAUCAGGCUGUCUUCCGCCCUCAGGGAAAAGUAGCAUGUCUUCCAGCACCAUAUGACAACUGCUCAGCACUUAUUUCUUGUCAUUGCUCCCUUCUGACUGCAGCUCCGUGGGAUCACAGGAGAUUAUGGUGGUGGUGGACUCCCAGGCAUUGCUAUUCUCCUGACACCAGAACACCAUCAUGGUCAUCUCUGAGGCAUCAGUAGUGUUUCUAUAUGCCAACAGUGAACAAUCUGAAAAAGAUAUUAAAAAGUAAUCUCAUUUACAAUAGCCACACAUAAAAUUAAAUACCUAGGAAUUAACCAAAGAAGUUAAAUAUCUCUAUAAUGAAAACUAUAAAACACUGAUGAAUGAAAUUGAUGAGAUCACCAAAAAUGAAAAAAUAUUCCAUGUUCAUGGAUUGGAAGAAUCAAUAUUGUUAAAAUGUCCAUACUACCCAAAGCAAUCUACAGAUUCAGUGCAAUCCCUAUAAAAAUACCAAUGACAUUCUUCACAGAAAUAUGAUCCUAAAAUGUAUACAGAACCACAAAGACCCAGAAUAGCCAAAGCUAUCCUAAGCAAAAAGAACAAAACUGGAGGAAUCACAUUACCUGACUUUAAAUAAUACUACAGAGCUGUUGUAACCAAAACAGCAUGGUACUGGCAUAAAAGCAGACACACAGACCAAUGGAACAGUACAGACAACCCAGAAACAAAUCCACACACAAACAGUGAACCCAUUUGUGACAAAGGUGCCAAGAAUAUGCACUCGGGAAAACACAGUCUUUACUCCACAAGCACAAGCAACCAAAGCAAAAAUGGACAAAUGGGAUUACGUCAAGUUUAAAAGCUUCUACACAGCAAAAGAUACUAUCAACCAAGUGAAUAGACACCCCAAAGAAUGGGAGAAAAUAUUUGCAAACUACCCAUCUGACAAGGGAUUCAUAACCAGGAUUUAUAAGGAGCUCAAAGAACUCUACUGGAGAAAAUCUAGUAAUUCCAGUCAAAAAUGGGCAAAAUAUUUGAAUAGGCAUUUCUCAAGAGAAGACAUACGUAUUGCAAAGAGGCAUAUGAAAAUGUGCUCAACAUCAUUGAUCAUUAGAGAAAUGCAAAUCAAAACUACAAUGAGAUCAUCUCACCCAGUUAAAAUGGCUUAUAUGCAAAAGUCAAGUAAUAACAAAUGCUGGCUAGGAUGUGUACACUGUUUGGUGGGAAUGUAAAUUAGUACAACCUCUAUGGAGAACAGUUUUCAGGUUCCUAAGAAGACAAAAAAUAUUGAACUACUAUAUGAUCCAGAAAUCCCAGUGCUUGGUAUAUACCCAAAAGAAAGAAAA